rnacentral:rRNA from 1 species
GGCGCACGGGUGAGUAACACGUAUGCAACCUACCUUUAACAGGGGAAUAACCCGUUGAAAAACGGACUAAUACUCCAUAACACAGGGGUCCCGCAUGGGAAUAUUUGUUAAAGAUUUAUCGGUUGAAGAUGGGCAUGCGUUCCAUUAGCUUGUUGGUGAGGUAACGGCUCACCAAGGCUACGAUGGAUAGGGGAACUGAGAGGUUUAUCCCCCACACUGGAACUGAGACACGGUCCAGACUCCUACGGGAGGCAGCAGUGAGGAAUAUUGGUCAAUGGAGGCAACUCUGAACCAGCCAAGUCGCGUGAAGGAUGAAGGUCUUAUGGAUUGUAAACUUCUUUUGCAAGGGAAUAAAGUGGGGGACGUGUCCUCCUUUGCAUGUACCUUGCGAAUAAGGAUCGGCUAACUCCGUGCCAGCAGCCGCGGUAAUACGGAGGAUCCGAGCGUUAUCAGGAUUUAUUGGGUUUAAAGGGUGCGCAGGCGGGAUGUUAAGUCGGCGGUGAAAUUUUGCAGCUCAACUGUAAAAGUGCCUUCGAUACUGGCUUUCUUGAGUGUGGAUGAAGUAGGCGGAGUUUGUGGUGUAGCGGUGAAAUGCUUAGAUAUCACGAGGAACUCCGAUUGCGCAGGCAGCUUACUAAACCACUACUGACGCUCAUGCACGAAGGCGUGGGGAUCAAACAGGAUUAGAUACCCUGAUAGUCCACGCAGUAAACGAUGAUUACUAGUUGUUUGCGAUACAAUGUAAGCGACUGAGCGAAAGCGUUAAGUAAUCCACCUGGGGAGUACGUUCGCAAGAAUGAAACUCAAAGGAAUUGA